rnacentral:rRNA from 1 species
UGGGGAAUUUUGGACAAUGGGCGCAAGCCUGAUCCAGCCAUGCCGCGUGCAGGAUGAAGGCCUUCGGGUUGUAAACCGCUUUUGUCAGGGAAGAAACGAGUUUCUCUAAUACAGAGACCUAAUGACGGUACCUGAAGAAUAAGCACCGGCUAACUACGUGCCAGCAGCCGCGGUAAUACGUAGGGUGCAAGCGUUAAUCGGAAUUACUGGGCGUAAAGCGUGCGCAGGCGGUUAUAUAAGACAGAUGUGAAAUCCCCGGGCUCAACCUGGGACCUGCAUUUGUGACUGUAUAGCUAGAGUACGGUAGAGGGGGAUGGAAUUCCGCGUGUAGCAGUGAAAUGCGUAGAUAUGCGGAGGAACACCGAUGGCGAAGGCAAUCCCCUGGACCUGUACUGACGCUCAUGCACGAAAGCGUGGGGAGCAAACA